CAGCUUCCACUAUAUAGUACAGGGUAACACAACUUCCUCUAUAUAGUACAGGUGACACAGCUUCCUCUAUAUAGUACAGGUGACACAGCUUCCUCUAUAUAGUACAGGUAACACAACUUCCUCUAUAUAGUACAGGUAACACAACUUCCUCUAUAUAGUACAGGUGACACAGCUUCCACUAAUUAGUACAGGUGAACAACUUCCUCUAUAUAGUACAGGUAACACAACUUCCUCUUAUAUAGUACAGGUUAACACAACUUCCUCUAUAUAGUACAGGUAACACAACUUCCUCUAUAUAGUACAGGUAACACAACUUCCUCUCUAUAUAGUACAGGUAACACAACUUCCUCUAUAUAGUACAGGUAACACAACUUCCUCUAUAUAGUAACCUGAAGGCAGUGGACAGGUAACACAGCUUCCUCUAUAUAGUAACCUGAAGGCAGUGGACAGGUAACACAGCUUCCUCUAUAUAGUAACCUGAAGGCAGUGGACAGGUGAUACAACUUCCUCUAUAUAGUAACCUGAAGGCAGUGGACAGGUGAUACAACUUCCUCUA